UACGUAGGGUGCGAGCGUUAAUCGGAAUUACUGGGCGUAAAGCGUGCGCAGGCGGUGGCUCAAGCCAGGCGUGAAAUCCCCGGGCUUAACCUGGGAAUGGCGUUUGGGACUGCAUCGCUGGAGUGCGGCAGAGGGGGAUGGAAUUCCGCGUGUAGCAGUGAAAUGCGUAGAUAUGCGGAGGAACACCGAUGGCGAAGGCAAUCCCCUGGGCCUGCACUGACGCUCAUGCACGAAAGCGUGGGGAGCAAACAGG
rnacentral:rRNA from 1 species